UACAGAGGUCCCAAGCGUUGUUCGGAUUCACUGGGCGUAAAGGGUGCGUAGGUGGCUUGGUAAGUUUGAUGUGAAAUCUCCGGGCUUAACCCGGAAAUGGCAUUGAAUACUAUUGAGCUGGAGGUUUGGAGGGGGGACUGGAAUUCUCGGUGUAGCAGUGAAAUGCGUAGAUAUCGAGAGGAACACCUGCGGCGAAGGCGGGUUGCUGGGCUGACACUGACGCUGAAGUGCGAAAGCUAGGGGAGCGAACGGG
rnacentral:rRNA from 1 species